AUGGGGAAGCGGCGCAGCCCGUCGGUGCUGUGGUGGAGGCAGCUCCUGUGCACUGGGUGCUGGUGGCUCCUGUCGCUCUCCAGGACGGCUCUCGAGGGGCUGCGGUGGCUCUGGAGGCUGGUGUGGUACCUGCUGAUCUGCUACAAGAGCUGCUGGGACUUUGCCUUCCAGUUCACCGAGGAGCUCAGCUCGGUGCUGCUGCUGAGGCUGGAAAACAGCGGCGAGGGGAGCGAGGAGGAGGAGGAGGUGGACAGGGCCUCUGCUGCUGCGCUGGAGCCCAGGGAGGCAGGGCAGUGGUGGAGCUGCAGCGGCUGCGUGAGGCCAGCGAGGCCGCGCUGGGCAGGCUGGAGGCGCUGGAGGCCGACGUCCGCUUCCUCUGCACCGAGCUGGGUGCCGAGAAACUGCUGUGGAGCAGCCGGUUCCUGGAGCUGCUGCGGGAGCAGCAAGGCCUACGGCAGCGGCUGCAAGAGCGCCCACUGCAAUGGGACAGCCCCGAGCUGCCCGGAGACGUGGAGGAGCCAAACGCCAGCGGGAGCGAGGGAGAGGGCCCAGCAGCAUCCAGGAACAAGGAGAACAAUCACCAGAAGCCCCCACAGGCGCCUUUCACAAGCUGAAGAUGCUGGAGCAAUAGAGGGAUUGCAAAAGCCAAGCACUGCCCCGUUUACUUCCUCCUUGGACAAAUCCAUCGGCUCCGUCAGCGUCCCCCGUGCGUGUUGCAACCCAGCCAGGGCCCUGCUGGAAGGGACCCAGCGCCCAGGGAGGGGCCGAGGGGCUCAGCCCAGGGGUGGGACGAGCUUCUUGGGGUGA
rnacentral:lncRNA from 1 species